CUAACAAGGAUUCCCUUAGUAACUGCGAGUGAAGAGGGAAAAGCUCAAAUUUAAAAUCUGGCAGCAUUUUGUUGUCCGAGUUGUAACCUAGAGAAGUGUAACCUGUGCUGGACCGUGUAUAAGUUUCCUGGAAUGGAGCAUCACAGAGGGUGAGAAUCCCGUCUUUGACAUGGACUACCAGUGCAUUGUGGUUGUGCUCUCAACGAGUCGAGUUGUUUGGGAAUGCAGCUCUAAAUGGGUGGUAAAUUCCAUCUAAAGCUAAAUAUUGGCGAGAGACCGAUAGCGAACAAGUACCGUGAGGGAAAGAUGAAAAGAACUUUGGAAAGAGAGUUAAACAGUAUGUGAAAUUGUUGAAAGGGAAACGUUUGAAGUCAGUCGCGUUAGCUGGGGAUCAGCCUGACAUUGUUGGGUGCACUUCCUGGUUGACGGGCCAACAUCAGUUUUGACUGCCAGAAAAAGGCCAAGGGAAUGUGGCACCUUUGGGUGUGUUAUAGCCUUUGGUCAUAUAUGGUGGUUGGGACUGAGGAACGCAGUGUGCCGAAAGGCCGGGUUUCGACCACGUUCACACUGAGGAUGUUGGCAUAAUGGCUUUAAGCGACCCGUCUUGAAACACGGACCAAGGAGUCUAACAUGCAUGCGAGUGUUUGGGUGGAAAACCCUUACGCGUAAUGAAAGUGAAAGUUGAGAUCCCUGUCGUGGGGAGCAUCGACGCCCGGACCAGAACUUUUGGGACGGAUCUGCGGUAGAGCACGUAUGUUGGGACCCGAAAGAUGGUGAACUAUGCCUGAAUAGGGUGAAGCCAGAGGAAACUCUGGUGGAGGCUCGUAGCGAUUCUGACGUGCAAAUCGAUCGUCAAAUUUGGGUAUAGGGGCGAAAGACUAAUCG
rnacentral:rRNA from 1 species